CAGGCCUAACACAUGCAAGUCGAACGAAGAGCGAUGGAAGCUUGCUUCUAUCAAUCUUAGUGGCGAACGGGUGAGUAACGCGUAAUCAACCUGCCCUUCAGAGGGGGACAACAGUUGGAAACGACUGCUAAUACCGCAUACGAUCCAACCUCGGCAUCGAGGAUGGAUGAAAGGUGGCCUCUAUUUAUAAGCUAUCACUGAAGGAGGGGAUUGCGUCUGAUUAGCUAGUUGGAGGGGUAACGGCCCACCAAGGCAAUGAUCAGUAGCCGGUCUGAGAGGAUGAACGGCCACAUUGGGACUGAGACACGGCCCAGACUCCUACGGGAGGCAGCAGUGGGGAAUCUUCCGCAAUGGACGAAAGUCUGACGGAGCAACGCCGCGUGAGUGAUGACGGCCUUCGGGUUGUAAAGCUCUGUUAAUCGGGACGAAAGGUCCUCUUGCGAAUAGUUAGAGGAAUUGACGGUACCGGAAUAGAAAGCCACGGCUAACUACGUGCCAGCAGCCGCGGUAAUACGUAGGUGGCAAGCGUUGUCCGGAAUUAUUGGGCGUAAAGCGCGCGCAGGCGGAUCAGUCAGUCUGUCUUAAAAGUUCGGGGCUUAACCCCGUGAUGGGAUGGAAACUGCUGAUCUAGAGUAUCGGAGAGGAAAGUGGAAUUCCUAGUGUAGCGGUGAAAUGCGUAGAUAUUAGGGAGAACACCAGUGGCGAAGGCGACUUUCUGGACGAAAACUGACGCUGAGGCGCGAAAGCCAG
rnacentral:rRNA from 1 species